rnacentral:sRNA from 1 species
UUUUUUAUUAUACUAAAUAUAUAAUCCAAGAUCAAGAAAAUUACAAUUUAUUUUUCAUUCUGUAUUUUAUCUAGUGUCCUUGGAUUUUUAUUCCCUCAUGAACUAAACCUUGCUUCCCAAAUGUACUGGAAGAAAUUACCAUUCAGUAAUUUCAAUACCAGAGUUACUAAAGAGAAGGAAAUGCUUUUGUGUCUGGAUAAUAAAUGCUGACCAUUUUGGUCUAAACGUUCAAUCAGAUGUGAAGUCUCUGAGAAGUGAUGCCUCAAGGUGAAGGUGCAUAAACUGUGCUCAUAAAUGAUGAGGUCAUAAGUCUAUCACCUACCCUUAUCGCUAGUUAUGCAGGCAUGGAGAUGUCAUUGACAACAGCUCUGGCUUGUCACUUUGUGGCAGGGAUUGAUUUCUGAAAACAUGACAGAAGAGACUAAUGGUUCAAGUGCAACUCAUUGGCUGCAAGGUUCCCCAGUAUGGGGCAUGUGCAAAUAGCAUAGGAUGAUAGACAAGAUCAGCAGCACCAAUGGGUUGGAGACAGCUCUAGCCCGAAUGUCCAACUGUAUAUGUGCUACAGAGGAAGAGCUAGAGAAGUUAUGGAGAUCUUUAACAGAUGCCAGAAAAAAGUUGGAUUAUACACACAAGGAACAACACCACCCAGGAGAAAGAGGCAGAAAAAUAUGAAUCUCAAGACCAUCCUAUGGAUUUCUCUGGACAGUCUGAAUCCAUAUCAGAGGAAAGGUGAUAUAUGUUCUGUGCUGUUGUAUGCUAGAACUUCAUAGGAAGAAAAGCAGUGUCAACUCACCAGACUCCCCAGAGUUCCCAAAGACUACGCCAAAAAACAAGGAGCCUCAUGGGCUCAUUUGUGGUCUCAGGGACAUGAGUCUCAGAGAUCUGCCUUGUAUGUACUCCUUGGGAAAGGAUGUGCUAAAUCCCGUUGAACUUUGAUGCCAAAAGGAAGAGGAUGCUUUCAUCACAAAUGCCGAUAUACUAUACACACAAGGAACAACAGAUCCCAGGAGGUAAGGUAUUUCUCAUGAUGGCCUGAGUUCAUUUUAGAGAAAAAGUAAUAUAUGUUUAUGUCUUUGUAUCUUAAUAAUAUGUAACUAUAUUUUGAUUUUACGGGAUGACAUUGAAAUUAUUGACUUGAGGCUCGAACGACACUUUAAAGUUUUAAACAGGGUUCAUUCUAUGAAAAAAUAAUAGGGUCUUUUAAAUUUGUAUAGUAUAUAAUUUUAUUAUAAUUUGGUUGUGAGACUGUGGUGACAAGGCGUGGAAUGCAGUGGUUUCAAUGAGAUGUCAAUGAUUAGCUACUAAUUUUUAACCAUUUGACUCGUGGUUGAUGAUUGUUUGUGGAAGGUUUUGAGAGAAGUCUCUCGGCUUCCUCUCUGUGGUUUGAGAUAUAAGCUGCUAAUUCAGCAACCUGCUGCUUACCACUAGAGAUACAGAAAGAGAAGAAAUACUAUUUAGCCACUACAAUUUCAAUUUUAUUAAUAUUUUUGUUGUUGUUGCAAACAAAUACUAAAAUGUAAUUCUGGCUGUAAGUAAACUCAUAGUAGACUCUCUGACUAUGCCUCUCAGUUGAUAGAUAUGUGGGCACUUGCCAAUGUGAAUGAUCUUUUUCACAAAAAAAGAAAAUUUUUAAAAGUAAUUAAUGAGCAACGUCAUUUUCACAUUUACAAAUCAAGUUAAAAGUACUCAAGAUAUAUUGACUUUCAUAUUAAUCAUAUCAUUCAAGAAAUAGAAACAAAAUGUUUACUUCAUAUUUGUGCUCAACCUA